CAGCAAAGGUGUAAUGGGGUUUGACUGCCCAGACUAUACUGAUGAAGAGAACUGUGCAGAAUGUGGUCCAUUGGAGUGGAUGUGUGGAGAUCUCUCAUGCAUACCAAUAGAGGCAAGAUGUGAUAAGCGAUAUGACUGUCGAGACUACACAGAUGAACUUGACUGUAGAGCAUGUGAUUCAACGCAGUGGACUUGUGGUGAUGGGAACUUUUAUACCCCAAGAAGGCCGUUGU